ensembl:lncRNA
UGUUGAGGUCCAUGCAUGGUGGUCAGUGGGGCUGGAGGGAUCACGGGUGGCCCUCAGGGUCCAUGCAUGGUGGUCAGUGGGGCUGGAAGGACUGUGGACAGCCAGCAGGGUCCAUGCACGGUGGUCGGUGGGGCUGGAGGGACCAUGGGUGGCUGGCAGGGUCUGCACACGGUGGUCGGUGGAGCAGGAGUUGUCGGGAAGCCGCUGCGAGCUCGGGCAGCUCGGGGACACGGUGGUGGUUGGUGUAAUCACCUGCAGACAUGCAGCUCCCGCCUGCCCGACACCGGGCGCCGCGGCGGACCCAGCACCGCAGCACCGCAGCUCUGGGCGCAGGCUGCCAGAGAAGCACCCACGCAGCAGGGACAUGGCGGGGACCAGACUCCCAAAACCUGGGUGUCCCCCCAAACCCGCAUCUGGGGGUGCAGAGCGGGUGCCCCCAGCGAAGACUUGCACGCUCGCCCCCGUCGCCCGAGGUGCCACAGCUUCGUGCCCGCGGGUUGGGGACAAGCCCGGGUGACGGAGGUCUUGGCCGUGGCCUCGCUCGGGGUGUCCCCAGGUGCCCUCUCGCGUCCUCUAGCCAGACUCAUCCUGCUUCUCCAGUUCUGGUCCCGACUCCUCGCGUCCUUCACGCUGGACCGAAGCCGUACGUCAUCCCCAGAGCGUCCGAGGGCACCGGGGGGCUCGGGCUCGCCCUCUCCACGGCGAGCGGGGGACCCGGCUCCGUCGGCGGGGGACCGGGGCGACGGUCCCCGAGAGCAUCCCCACCGCCAGCCCCCACGGGAUGCACCCGAACCCGGCGCCUUAAGGCAGCUUAAAGCACAUAUCCCCCUCCUCACCCCCACCUCAUCCCCGAAUCCGCCCCGGCCAGGAGCCGGCGGGACACGGCAAAAUGCAGUCCGAAAAGAGCAGCCGCCCUCGGCUGGAGGAGAGACCUGAAUAAUCCUGCCCCGGGGGCCGGGGGGGCCGGGAUCUCGCCCUAUAAAUAAGGAGGUCCCCAAAUGCACCCGCCGGAGCGGGAGAAAAUUGGGGGGGGAAGCGGCGGGGCGGGGGGCCGGUGCACCGCCUCACCCCCCCACUGGGCCGUGGCCCCCCCCGCUCACUCGGCCCCCGACUCGGGGAGCCCCUCGGCGUCCAGGCAGCCGUUGAGCUGGGCCCCCGGGGCGCCCAGGGCCUGCGGGUCGUACUCCUCGUCGAGGAAGUCCAGGGAGUUGUUGCUGGGCAAGCCGCGGAUGGUGAACUUGUGGGACACCUUGGUCCACUGCUCCCGGUUGCUGGCCACCCUCUCGUAGAGCUCGGCGGCCUUGGGGAAGAGCUCCUGCAGCAGCCUGCGGGACCCGCACCCCUCAGCCGCCGACGGGGCACCCGCUCCGUC